rnacentral:rRNA from 1 species
GACGAACGCUGGCGGCGUGCUUAACACAUGCAAGUCGAACGGAAAGGCCCUGCUUUUGUGGGGUGCUCGAGUGGCGAACGGGUGAGUAACACGUGAGUAACCUGCCCUUGACUUUGGGAUAACUUCAGGAAACUGGGGCUAAUACCGGAUAGGAGCUCCUGCUGCAUGGUGGGGGUUGGAAAGUUUCGGCGGUUGGGGAUGGACUCGCGGCUUAUCAGCUUGUUGGUGGGGUAGUGGCUUACCAAGGCUUUGACGGGUAGCCGGCCUGAGAGGGUGACCGGCCACAUGGGGACUGAGAUACGGCCCAGACGCCUACGGGAGGCAGCAGUGGGGAAUAUUGCACAAGGGGCGGAAGCCUGAUGCAGCAACGCCGCGUGCGGGAUGACGGCCUUCGGGUUGGAAACCGCUUUCGCCUGUGACGAAGCGUGAGUGACGGUAAUGGGGAAAGAAGCACCGGCUAACUACGG